UCGUUCUGUAAGCCUGUGAAGGUGAGUUGAGAAGCUUGCUGGAGGUAUCAGAAGUGCGAAUGCUGACAUGAGUAACGACAAUGGGUGUGAAAAACACCCACGCCGAAAGACCAAGGUUUCCUGCGCAACGUUAAUCGACGCAGGGUUAGUCGGUCCCUAAGGCGAGGCUGAAAAGCGUAGUCGAUGGAAAACAGGUUAAUAUUCCUGUACUUCUGGUUAUUGCGAUGGAGGGACGGAGAAGGCUAGGCCAGCUUGGCGUUGGUUGUCCAAGUUUAAGGUGGUAGGCUGAGAUCUUAGGUAAAUCCGGGAUCUUAAGGCCGAGAGCUGAUGACGAGUGUCCUUUAGGACACGAAGUGGUUGAUGCCAUGCUUCCAAGAAAAGCUUCUAAGCUUCAGGUAACCAGGAACCGUACCCCAAACCGACACAGGUGGUUGGGUAGAGAAUACCAAGGCGCUUGAGAGAACUCGGGUGAAGGAACUAGGCAAAAUGGCACCGUAACUUCGGGAGAAGGUGCGCCGGUGAGGGUGAAGCAUUUACUGCGUAAGCCCACGCCGGUCGAAGAUACCAGGCCGCUGCGACUGUUUAUUAAAAACACAGCACUCUGCAAACACGAAAGUGGACGUAUAGGGUGUGACGCCUGCCCGGUGCCGGAAGGUUAAUUGAUGGGGUUAGCUAACGCGAAGCUCUUGAUCGAAGCCCCGGUAAACGGCGGCCGUAACUAUAACGGUCCUAAGGUAGCGAAAUUCCUUGUCGGGUAAGUCCCGACCUGCACGAAUGGCGUAACGAUGGCGGCGCUGUCUCCACCCGAGACUCAGUGAAAUUGAAAUCGCUGUGAAGAUGCAGUGUAUCCGCGGCUAGACGGAAAGACCCCGUGAACCUUUACUAUAGCUUUGCACUGGACUUUGAAUUUGCUUGUGUAGGAUAGGUGGGAGGCUUUGAAGCGUGGACGCCAGUCUGCGUGGAGCCAACCUUGAAAUACCACCCUGGCAACUUUGAGGUUCUAACUCAGGUCCGUUAUCCGGAUCGAGGACAGUGUAUGGUGGGUAGUUUGACUGGGGCGGUCUCCUCCUAAAGAGUAACGGAGGAGUACGAAGGUGCGCUCAGACCGGUCGGAAAUCGGUCGUAGAGUAUAAAGGCAAAAGCGCGCUUGACUGCGAGACAGACACGUCGACCAGGUACGAAAGUAGGUCUUAGUGAUCCGGUGGUUCUGUAUGGAAGGGCCAUCGCUCAACGGAUAAAAGGUACUCCGGGGAUAACAGGCUGAUACCGCCCAAGAGUUCAUAUCG
rnacentral:rRNA from 1 species